CUUAGUGCCACUAGGUACUUUCCAUGAUGCCAGGGGAGAAGAGACAUCAAUAGUCUUACCCAGCACUUCACUGAUCUACUGGCAAGAUGUGUCCAUUGGUUCAAAGAGGUAUGAAUGUUCGAAGGAUGGCCAACCACUUUCUGAUUGGAUUUGAGUCCACAGGAGGGAUUUCAUGCUGAGACUAUAAACCAGGUUGAAAGCCCACUAGGGAGACAGAUCACAGGCUCCAUGGGCAAUCUCUAGUGUUCUGUUAAAUGAUCUUGCCGUCAGAUUCAUUUGAAAUAUUUAUAUUUUUACCUGUAGAUUUAUGCUGAUCUCAACUUCUGUCAGAGGACACUCUUUCUUCAGUGGGCUGUAGUUAAUGCAGAAAUUGGUAACUAUUAAGUGUGGAGUAGAAACAAAGGUGCUUCAGAGAGCUUCAUCAAAUGAUCCCCAUCAAUCCUUGACACCAUUGGCUACCCAAUGACACAUGUUCUGGUUCCUACAUCUCCACCAGAAUCCUGCCAUCUGACUACAUCCUUCCCAAGAUCUUUUCCAUGUGACUUGGACAAGAAUUAAGCUGGAUCUGAAUCCAUCUCAAAGUUGCAUUCCCACACUCCCAAAGAUGUCCCUCGAAGAGCAGUGAGGAACUGUAAAUAAGGACAGCUCACCCUCCUCCACACAUAUCAAUAAGAACUAACAGAAGGAGACAGAAGGGGGAGAAGCGGGUUUGAGGUGAA